rnacentral:lncRNA from 1 species
GUAAAAUGAAUAACAGUAAUACAUAGAUCAAGAUUGGGUCCACGAAAAAUAUGGCAUGACCGCAAUAAGUUUCUUGCGCUGAAGGCACCGGGGGUAAUUAUUCUGGAACCUCGAACUGAAACUAGGAAACCCCUCGAUUGAAUUAUCCGUUAUCGGAUUUGUUUGUGAAAACGCUGAUUCUGAAGUCGACUUGAGUUGGCGCAGAGCAACCAGAGUUUGAGCAUCAAUUUCUUUUGAUUUCUCGGCGAUUUUCGAAUAUCUGAUUUUGGAUAAAGCUCCAGGCUUAAGGUAUGUGUAAAAAGAAGGCCGCGAUUUCGGUGUUAUGAAAGUGUUGCUUCUCACUCUAGAUUUCAUGACGAGAAAUAGCAAAUGUGCUAAUAACUUGGUGUUUGUGAGAAAAAAACUGAAUGUAAACCCUAG